GUAACUCUAAAACCAACAUGUGUUCACGAAUUUAGGUUUCUUUAACAAUUUGAUCUGAUAAAAAACACUUUGCCAAGUCGUGAACGUUCGAAUGAUUCUUUAUUAUUAUGAUUCACUUGUAAAGGAAGAUAUAUUUUCCUUUAAGAUCGCUACUAUACCUGUCUUUACGGUGUUUGCUGUCCUCAAUUUCAGAAGAUAAAUAUCUUCUGUUAACGCAUCUAAUCCAGAUUUUAGAGUUUAUAACUCUGUAUAAUCGUGGUUCAAAACCACUCAUCUCUAAAAGGUACCUUUCUAAACUGUAUACCCAUCCAUAUUAAGAGAGAGACUCCGGAUCUGUUCUCAGUGGGCUAGGUUCUUCGUUCCUCGCUGGAGGCAAGAGGAGUGCCGCCCUGUUUCGGAGCGGCUUGAAACAGGAGCUGUAAGAGUUGGCCGGAAAACUCUGAUUGUCGCGUCUGCGGCUUCUCAGUCCAAAAAAUCUUGGAUCCCGGCCGUUAAAGGUGGCAGCAACUUCCUUGAUUCUGAAUGGCUUGAUGGCUCCUUCCGAACUGGACAGUGAAUGCCCUAGCAAAGCCUGCUCCACUUGUUGCCAAUCUCUUCUUAUCAUUCAGUUCCUAUCAUAAAAAAAAUUACUUUUCAUAAUAAACAGGUUUCUUAAGAGAUGUCAACAUGAUUCAUAACUUUUUAAGACUUUACUUCGUUGGCUUAACUCUUCUUGAGAUCAGGACAUAAAGAACUUGGUCGUGGCUUUUGCUUCCUCAGAUAUUAAUCUGUGUUUCUUUUCUUCAAAGCCAUAAAACUCAAAGGCUGUAGAUUUGCCGAUAAAUCUGAGGUACAUGGAGAACAACACAUCGAUUCCAGUUCAAGCGGCGAAGACUGAGUAAGAAGCUCUGAAAUCGCUCCCCAUGAUCUAUGUAUAGAGAGUAUUGUUGUUCGUUUGUGUUGAUGAUCACUGCCUAUCAACAAAGACAGAACGUUCCUCUUGUAGAGGUCUCUCUCCUUAGCUUUUCGCUUUGUGUUUUAUUUAUUUGGUGAAAGCUUGAGCCUGGUUUUUCAGGAACGUUGGAAUCAAAAUAAACAGUUAUUUGAACACAAACUACUCAAAAUGUAAAAAUGAAAUCUGAUUUUACCUCAU